UACAUGCAUGCAAACGCUAACCCCUGGAUUCGUCUGGGGGGGAGAGUGGCGAACGGGUGAGUAACACGUAGGUGACCUGCCCCGAAGAGGGGGAUAACCACUGGAAACGGUGGCUAAUACCCCGUGUGAUCUGUCGGUCAACGGCAGAUUAAAGCGCCCUUUGCGGGGUUGCGCUUUGGGAGGGGCCUGCGGCCCAUCAGGUAGUUGGUAGGGUAAUGGCCUACCAAGCCUAUGACGGGUAGGGGGCGUGAGAGCGUGACCCCCCACACUGGCACUGAGAUACGGGCCAGACUCCUACGGGAGGCAGCAGUGAGGAAUCUUGCCCAAUGGACGAAAGUCUGAGGCAGCAACGCCGCGUGGGCGAUGAAGGCCUUCGGGUUGUAAAGCCCUUUUCUGGGGGACGAGGAAGGACGGUACCUCAGGAAUAAGUCACGGCUAACUACGUGCCAGCAGCCGCGGUAAUACGUAGGUGGCAAGCGUUAUCCGGAUUUACUGGGCGUAAAGCGCGUGCAGGCGGUUUCGUAAGUCGGACGUGAAAGCUCCUGGCUUAACUAGGAGAGGCCGUUCGAUACUGCGGGACUUGAGGUCGGGAGAGGGACGUGGAAUUCCCGGUGUAGUGGUGGAAUGCGUAGAGAUCGGGAGGAACACCAGUGGCGAAGGCGGCGUCCUGGCCCGUACCUGACGCUAAGACGCGAAAGCGUGGGUAGCGAACGGGAUUAGAUACCCCGGUAGUCCACGCCGUAAACGGUGGAUACUAGGUGUUGGUGGCUAUCGUCAUCAGUGCCGUAGCUAACGCGUUAAGUAUCCCGCCUGGGGACUACGGUCGCAAGGCUAAAACUCAAAGGAAUUGACGGGGGCCCGCACAAGCAGCGGAGCGUGUGGUUUAAUUCGAGGCAACACGAAGAACCUUACCUGGGUUUGACAUGUACGUGGUAGUGAAGCGAAAGCGGAACGAUCCUUUGGGAAGCGUACACAGUGCUGCAUGGCUGUCGUCAGCUCGUGCCGUGAGGUG
rnacentral:rRNA from 1 species